GACGAACGCUGGCGGCGUGCUUAACACAUGCAAGUCGAACGCUGAAGCUCAGCUUUUGUUGGGUGGAUGAGUGGCGAACGGGUGAGUAACACGUGAGUAACCUGCCUCCUUCUUUGGGAUAACGCCCGGAAACGGGUGCUAAUACUGGAUAUUCACUGGUCUUCGCAUGGGGGUUGGUGGAAAGGGUUUUUCUGGUGGGGGAUGGGCUCGCGGCCUAUCAGCUUGUUGGUGGGGUGAUGGCCUACCAAGGCUUUGACGGGUAGCCGGCCUGAGAGGGUGACCGGUAACAUUGGGACUGAGAUACGGCCCAGAAUCCUACGGGAGGCAGCAGUGGGGAAGAUUGCACAAUGGGCGCAAGCCUGAUGCAGCGACGCCGCGUGAGGGAUGGAGGCCGUCGGGUUGUGAACCUCUUUCGCUCAUGGUCAAGCCGCAACAAUGGUUGUGGUGAGGGUAGUGGGUAAAGAAGCGCCGGCUAACUACGUG
rnacentral:rRNA from 1 species